rnacentral:rRNA from 1 species
AUUGAACGCUGGCGGCAGGCCUAACACAUGAAAGUCGAACGAGUGGCGGACGGGUGAGUAAUGUCUGGGAAACUGCCUGAUGGAGGGGGAUAAAUACUGGAAACGGUAGCUAAUACCGCAUACCAUCAGAUGUGCCCAGAUGGGAUUAGCUAGUUGGUGGGGUAAGGGCUCACCAAGGCUACGAUCCCUAGCUGGUCUGAGAGGAUGACCCGCCACACUGGAACUGAGACACGGUCCAGGCUCCUACGGGAGGUAGCAGUCGGAAAUAUUGCACAAUGGGCGCAAGCCUGAGGCAGCCAUGCCGCGUGUAUGACGAAGGCCUUCGGGUUGUAAAGUACUUUCAGCGGGGAGGCGUUACCCGCAGAAGAAGCACCGGCUGACUCCGUGCCAGCAGCCGCGGUAAUAC